rnacentral:rRNA from 1 species
UACGGGGGGGGCAAGCGUUGUUCGGAAUUACUGGGCGUAAAGGGCUCGUAGGCGGCCAACUAAGUCGGACGUGAAAUCCCCAGGCUCAACCUGGGAACUGCGUCCGAUACUGGAUGGCUUGAAUUCGGGAGAGGGAUGCAGAAUUCCAGGUGUAGCGGUGAAAUGCGUAGAUAUCUGGAGGAAUACCGGUGGCGAAGGCGGCAUCCUGGACCGGCACUGACACUGAGGAGCGAAAGCCAGGGGAGCAAACGGG